rnacentral:rRNA from 1 species
AAAUUGACUUUCUUUAUUUUAAUUAUAAAAUUUGAUUUCUAGAUUAAAAAGUCUAGAUUUAUUUGGAGGACGAGAAGACCCUAUAGAACUUAACUUUUCCUAUUUUAAUUAUUUACUUGUAAAUAAUUUUUAUUUAUUUURGGAAAAGUUUUAWWGGGGUGAUAAAAAAAAUAUUUUAACUUUUUUUAUUUUUUUCAUUAUAUAUGGUUUUUUGAUCCUYUAUUAUGGAUAACAAGAUUAAGUUACCUKWGGGAUAACAGCGUUAUUAUUUUGGAGAGUUCAUAUUGAUAAAAUAGUUUGCGACCUCGAUGUUGGAUUAAAAUAAGCACCAGGGGUAGAAUAUUGGUUGU